UUGACCCUACGGGGGGCAGCAGUGAGGAAUAUUGGUCAAUGGCCGAAGGGCUGAACUAGCCACGCCGCGUGAAGGAAUAAGGCCCUACGGGUCGUAAACUUCUUUAGUCAGGGAACAAAGGGUGCCACGUGUGGCGCUGUGAGUGUACCUGAAGAAUAAGCAUAGGCUAAAUCCGUGCCAGCAGCCGCGGUAAUACGGAGGAUGCGAGCGUUAUCCGGAUUUAUUGGGUUGAAAGGGUGCGUAGGCGGUUUGUCAAGUCAGCGGUAAAAAUUCCGGGCUCAACCCGGUCACGCCGUUGAAACUGG
rnacentral:rRNA from 1 species